rnacentral:lncRNA from 1 species
UUUUUUUUUUUUUUAAGGAAUGAACUCCAUGCAAUGAACUUUCCUCUUAGUACUGCCUUUAUGGUGUCCCAGAGAUUUUGAUAUGUUGUGUCAGUGUUCUCAUUUACCUCUAAGAAUUUUUGAAUCUCCUCCUUGAUGUCUUUUGCAACCCUUUGUUCAUUCAGUAGCAUAUUACUUAGUCUCCACGUGUUGGAGUAGCUUUUAUUUUUAUUUUAUCAUUGAUUUGUAAUUUUUUUUCAUUAUGAUCUGAUAGAAUGCAGGAUAGUAUCUCUACUUUUUUGUAUUUGCUAAGAGUUUCUUUGUGGCAUAAUACAUGAUCUAGUAUAGAGAAGGAACCAUGUGCUGCUGAGAAGAAAGUGUAUUCGCUUGUUGAAGGAUGAAAUAUUCUCUCUCUAUAUAUAUGUCAGGUCUAAGUUAUUGAUUGUAUUAUUUUUUUUUUUCACAGUUGGAAAUUUAAUAUGCCUUUUUCAGAAUUUGAAAGAUGAAGUGAACAAAAUCAAUAAAAAAGUAAAAUUUCAAUAAUAAACAGCAAGAUUGAUGCAGUAUAUCUCUAUCUCUAUUUUUUUUAUCUCUAAUUCUAUCUUUAUAAUCUACACAUGGAAAAUACAUCUCCUUUUUGAACUUUCACAAAAGUCAUCGAUAUUAAUAGAGCUCCCACCCAGUAAUCUCAAUAUAUUGCGAAAAGCAAAUAGUUAAGGCUACAUACUCUGAUCACUGUGCAACAAAAUUAGAAAUUAACAACAAAGGGUAGAGAAAAAUUCUCUAAUAAUUGAAAAUAACUAUUACCUUUGAAGAGGGAAGUAGAAUUUAAGUAUGUAAGAGAGAGGUAAGACAGAUUUUAAUUUUUCAAAUAAAAAAUAUAUACCUUUCUACUGAGGCUUUGCAGGAUUACCUCUAUAAUUUAAAAAAAAAAAUCUAUUAGCCUGACACAGUGACACUCAC